GUACUCCCCUCAGCAGCAUAUAUACUAAAAUUGCAACGAUAGAGAAAAGACUAGCAUGGCCUCCACACAAGGAACAUGAAGCAUCCCGUAUUAAAAACAACAAAAAUGUCU
ensembl:snRNA U6 U6 spliceosomal RNA